GGAACUGAGGACAUCAGACCAGGAGGCGCCCGCACCCCGUCUCUGCCUCUCCCGCCCACCCUGGCUCCCCUCAAAGCAACAGCUGGCUCCUUUCGGCUAGGGGGCGGGCUGUGGGAGGGGCUGUUUUUGUACAAAGCUGUAACAUUGUGGGGACAGGGGAUCCACGGUGAUUCAAACUUGCAGGAGGCCUUUACAAAAACCACUGUCUGCCCCACAACCCCCACCCCAUGUCUCUCCCAGGUCUCAGCCCCAGGGCAGCUGGCACAGAAUGCUGCCACCUCACCUGUCCGCAAGUCAGGCCAAGGCCAUGAGUCAAGGAAGAUAGGGCGCAGCUUUAAGGAGAAUGCCUCAGGGUGUCACAGAAGAAGGUUACAGGGACCCCUCCAUCCAACCCCAUUGGGACCACCACAGGCCUGCUUUCCUCCAUGCCCCCCGGCACUGUGCAAACACCCAAGCGUUCUUUGGAGAAGGCACUCGACUCACGGUGACGACCUGAGCAAGGUGACCCCACCCAAGGUGGCCGUGUUUGAACCCUCAGAGGCAGAGAUCUCUCGCACCCAGAAGGCCACCCUCGUGUGCCUGGCCACCAACUUCUACCCUGACCACGUGGAGCUGAGCUGGUGGGUGAACGGCAAGGAGGCCCGCAGCGGGGUCAGCACGGACCCCCAGCCCCAGAAGGGGUGCACUGGCGUCAGUGACUCCACAUACUGCAUGAGCAGCCUCCUGAGAGUGUCGGCUGCCUUCUGGCACAACCCACGCAACCAUUUCCGCUGCCAAGUCCAGUUCUACGGUCUCUCGGCUGAGGACGAGGACCAGUGGGACGAGGAAAACAAUGGGCCCCUGCCCGUCACCCAGAACAUCAGCGCCGAGGCCUGGGGCCACGCAGACUGUGGCCUCACCUCAGUGUCCUACCAGCAGGGGGUCCUGUCAGCCACUGUCCUCUACGAGGUCCUGCUGGGAAAGGCGGCCCUGUACGCUGUGCUGGUCAGUGCCCUCGUGCUGGUGGCCAUGGUCAAGAAGAAGGACUCCUGAAGCCAGCUCUGGAGGGGGGCCAGGAGAUUCUGGCCCUUCAUUAUGUCUAACAGGAUCCCCCGCUCCCCAUCUGCAGCCAGUGCUGAGAGGAGGAGUCCUCAUAUCCCCACUCCUCCUGGUACCCACCUAGUGCAUGUGCACCUGGGUGUGUGUCUCUGAGACUUCCUACCCGGGGGCUCCCUAGCAAGCCUGAACCCCAGUGGACCAAACCAAUAAACACGGUCUGCUUGGCUGUUCCUGGAAUGUCUGAUUUCUCCUCUGCCCUUCCCCAAACCCCCUGUCAUCUUCCAGCUCACCAGGAGGGGGUCACAAGGUAUUCACGGAGUGGGGAACCGACCCCCCCCGCCAUGACUGACACGGCUCAUCCUGCUCAGGAAGGUUAAUAAAGUGUGCGAGGUAGUGAUGGGAGCUGAGGAGGGCUGCUCCAGAACAGCCUAGAAAAGCAGGAUGCCAGACAGGAGUCUAUGUCCUGCCCUGCACAAAGGUGAUCUGAGGAAGAGCUGGCACAGGUGUGUCCCACCAACUGCAUGCCCGCAGGUAAAUGAAGCUAGUCUCCUGCAGCUCACCCCCUCUUUGCAGUUCUGUCGCCAAGUGCACCCUUUGUCUCCACAGUGCCCCAGGCAGGUCUCCCAGCGAGGGGCAGAAAAGGCGCUGACUGGGAAGUUUAUUCUCAAGGGCGGUUGUGUCUCCCAGUUACAGAAUCUCUCCCUGGUGUAUUGGACAGGCAUGAAAAAGCUCCCAACCACACCUGGAGGUGCAAGAAAUGAAAUUCCCUCCAGCCAAGGAUCAGCCCUAUCUCUGCGGCUAUCCAUUGCCUGGUUAUUAUCAUGGCGAUGCACUUGGAAGUCCUCAGGAAGGAACAUAGGACCCCCGGGCUGACCACCACUUUAUCUCUGCACCCCACCUCGCCACCUCCCCCUGAGCAGCCUGGUUUCAGGCCCCUUGACCAGCUACUACUCCUGGAAUGACAUCAUAUCCUUCUUCCUGGGGAACACCUGCCUAUCCUUCCAGAUUCGGCUCAGACACCCUUCUUCCAAGGAGCCUCCCCUGGCCCUUCCUUUCUGCCCCUUCCCACUAAGGUUGGACCAGAUGCCCAUUUGUUUUGCUGUCACAAUGCCCUGUGCGUGCCUCCUUCACGACCCUCAUUACACGUGGUGGACUUGAUCUCCCUACCUGCCUGACACCCCCGCUCAACCGUGAGCUCCUUGAUAACAGGGUGCUUUUGACCAUAGCCACCCCGGGAUAGAGCAGAGAACCUUGGUUCAGCACCAGUACUCCGUAAAUUAUCUCUGAAUAAAUGAAUGAACAAGCGAGUGAACCAAGGUGACUUCCCUCAGGAGCAGGCACCCCUGAGACCUUGCCAAAGUAGCCCCCUGCCCUUCCACUCAUAGGACCCCACCACCCAGCCUUGCCUUGGUACUGCAGGGCUCACAUGCAUUCAAAUAUAUACAUUUAUGUCCACAAACACACACACACAGCCAUUGAGCACAAGUCACCACAAUGUGUUAUCCCUGGCCUUCAAAAACACAAAGAUAUCCAAGUCACUGUCCCCAAGAAGUCUCCCUGUUCAUAGGGGGAACAGGCAUGGACAGAAGCCGUGAAAUAGAAGUUAGCUGUCUUUACAGCGCAGUCAGAAUUCCAGACAAGACAGAACUGUAGAGACACUGAAAAGAUCAGUGGUUGCC